rnacentral:rRNA from 1 species
AGCGAACGCUGGCGGCAGGCCUAACACGUGCAAGUCGAACGAACUCUUCGGAGUUAGUGGCGGACGGGUGAGUAACACGUGGGAACGUGCCUUUUGGUUCGGAAUAACUCAGGGAAACUUGUGCUAAUACCGAAUGUGCCCUUCGGGGGAAAGAUUUAUCGCCAUUAGAGCGGCCCGCGUCUGAUUAGCUAGUUGGUGAGGUAACGGCUCACCAAGGCGACGAUCAGUAGCUGGUCUGAGGGGAUGACCAGCCACACUGGGACUGAGACACGGCCCAGACUCCUACGGGAGGCAGCAGUGGGGAAUCUUGCGCAAUGGGCGAAAGCCUGACGCAGCCAUGCCGCGUGAAUGAUGAAGGUCUUAGGAUUGUAAAAUUCUUUCACCGGGGACGAUAAUGACGGUACCCGGAGAAGAAGCCCCGGCUAACUUCGUG